rnacentral:tRNA from 1 species
GGCGGCGUAGCUCAGAUGGCAGAGCAGGGGACUCAUAAGCCCUGUGUCGUUGGUUCAAGCCCAAUCGCCGCCA